rnacentral:rRNA from 1 species
GACGAACGCUGGCGGCGUGCUUAACACAUGCAAGUCGUACGGUAAGGCCCUUUCGGGGGUACACGAGUGGCGAACGGGUGAGUAACACGUGAGUAACCUGCCCACAACUUUGGGAUAACGCUAGGAAACUGGUGCUAAUACUGGAUAUGUGCUCCUGCUGCAUGGUGGGGGUUGGAAAGCUCCGGCGGUUGUGGAUGGACUCGCGGCCUAUCAGCUUGUUGGUGGGGUAGUGGCCUACCAAGGCGGCGACGUGUAGCCGGCCUGAGAGGGUGACCGGCCACAGUGGGACUGAGAUACGGCCCAGACUCCUACGGGAGGCAGCAGUGGGGAAUAUUGCACAAUGGGCGCAAGCCUGAUGCAGCAACGCCGCGUGCGGGAUGACGGCCUUCGGGUUGUAAACCGCUUUCAGCAGGGACGAAGCUUUUUGUGACGGUACCUGCAGAAGAAGCACCGGCUAACUACGUG